rnacentral:tRNA from 3 species
GCGGACAUGGCGGAAUUGGUAGACGCGCUAGAUUUAGGUUCUAGUAUCGUAAAGAUGUGAAGGUUCAAGUCCUUUUGUCCGCAUCA